rnacentral:rRNA from 1 species
CCUACGGGAGGCAGCAGUGGGGAAUAUUGGACAAUGGGCGCAAGCCUGAUCCAGCAAUGCCGCGUGAGUGAUGAAGGCCUUAGGGUCGUAAAGCUCUUUUACCAGGGAUGAUAAUGACAGUACCUGGAGAAUAAGCUCCGGCUAACUCCGUGCCAGCAGCCGCGGUAAUACGGAGGGAGCUAGCGUUGUUCGGAAUUACUGGGCGUAAAGCGUACGUAGGCGGUUAUUCAAGUCAGAGGUGAAAGCCCGGGGCUCAACCCCGGAACGGCCUUUGAAACUAGGUAGCUAGAAUCUUGGAGAGGUCAGUGGAAUUCCGAGUGUAGAGGUGAAAUUCGUAGAUAUUCGGAAGAACACCAGUGGCGAAGGCGACUGACUGGACAAGUAUUGACGCUGAGGUACGAAAGCGUGGGGAGCAAACAGGAUUAGAUACCCUGGUAGUCCACGCCGUAAACGAUGAUAACUAGCUGUUCGGGCACUUGGUGCUUGAGUGGCGCAGCUAACGCAUUAAGUUAUCCGCCUGGGGAGUACGGUCGCAAGAUUAAAACUCAAAGGAAUUGACGGCUGAGAGNGCGAGCGACACGAGGAGAG